rnacentral:rRNA from 1 species
AUUGAACGCUGGCGGCAUGCUUUACACAUGCAAGUCGAACGGUAACAGGCCUUCGGGUGCUGACGAGUGGCGAACGGGUGAGUAAUGCAUCGGAACGUGCCCAAUCGUGGGGGAUAACGUAGCGAAAGUUACGCUAAUACCGCAUAAGCCCUGAGGGGGAAAGCAGGGGAUCGCAAGACCUUGCGCGAAUGGAGCGGCCGAUGUCAGAUUAGCUAGUUGGUGGGGUAAAGGCCUACCAAGGCGACGAUCUGUAGCGGGUCUGAGAGGAUGAUCCGCCACACUGGGACUGAGACACGGCCCAGACUCCUACGGGAGGCAGCAGUGGGGAAUUUUGGACAAUGGGCGCAAGCCUGAUCCAGCCAUGCCGCGUGCGGGACGAAGGCCUUCGG